rnacentral:rRNA from 1 species
AAAGCGUGCGCAGGCGGUUGUGUAAGUCUGAUGUGAAAGCCCCGGGCUCAACCUGGGAACUGCAUUGGAGACUGCACGGCUAGAGUGCGUCAGAGGGGGGUAGAAUUCCGCGUGUAGCAGUGAAAUGCGUAGAGAUGCGGAGGAAUACCGAUGGCGAAGGCAGCCCCCUGGGAUGACACUGACGCUCAUGCACGAAAGCGUGGGGAGCAAACAGGAUUAGAUACCCUAGU